rnacentral:rRNA from 1 species
CAGGCCUAACACAUGCAAGUCGAACGAAGGCUUCGGCCUUAGUGGCGCACGGGUGCGUAACGCGUGGGAAUCUGCCCUUAGGUUCGGAAUAACAGUUAGAAAUGACUGCUAAUACCGGAUGAUGACGUAAGUCCAAAGAUUUAUCGCCUAGGGAUGAGCCCGCGUAGGAUUAGCUAGUUGGUGUGGUAAAGGCGCACCAAGGCGACGAUCCUUAGCUGGUCUGAGAGGAUGAUCAGCCACACUGGGACUGAGACACGGCCCAGACUCCUACGGGAGGCAGCAGUGGGGAAUAUUGGACAAUGGGCGCAAGCCUGAUCCAGCAAUGCCGCGUGAGUGAUGAAGGCCUUAGGGUUGUAAAGCUCUUUACCCGGGAUGAUAAUGACAGUACCGGGAGAAUAAGCCCCGGCUAACUCCGUGCCAGCAGCCGCGGUAAU